UAAUUAUAGAAAUCUCUGUUUAUAAUAUGGGGUCCCCGCGACUGCCAUUACGACAAACGUCUGUGACAAACUGUCGCUCUGUCGCACUGUCGCACUGUCGUUGUGUCACUUCCAACCCAAAAAUAGUUGACGACAUUUUGCAUUUGCAGGUUUUUGCAUCACCGGAAUGGGAACACGGAGAGAGCGCAAUCGCAUCUACACAGCCGACUGCAGUUCCUACAAAAUACGUGAUUGAAGGAAUGGACGAUGAAUGACGCAGAUGGAUUGUUGGUUGGAUGAUGCCGUAGUGCUGCUCUCUUUCCUUUACUCAUGUAACUAGUUUCAAUCAAUCGCAUGUACGGCGGGGAGUACAUCCGCCUGGUGACCGCAGCAGCAAGUGGAGCGCCGACCCAGAAGUUUGUAUGCACCCAAAAAGUAAAUAAGGGGAAGAACUCGCCGUGCAACGCCACUGGAGUGGGAGAGAAGCGGAAGCGUCGCACAAGAUUGAGUUGACUGACAAUCGCUAGAGCUGCGCGCUAAAGUUUGAAAGUGAAUGAGUGACCAGGAUAUGAAUGCAAUCCAGUGGAAUAAAUGAUGCAGGGUGGCACGAUUGAGAGAGCGAAAAUUAAAAAACCUGCUUACGAAAGUUUCUAUACCAUAUACCCUGUUGCUUAAAACUGAAAUUUAAUAUAUUGAUGAAAUAUACCAUUAUAUACCGAUAAGCCCAUAUACUUUCAACUCAAUUUCGACGUCAAACUAUACAGAUAAACACCUACUGGUCACCUAAAUGCGACUACGAGACGAACAUGGAAUGACGACAACGACAACAACAACGGCAACCGAUAACCGAUAGUGACGAGAGCGGACGACGACUUUAAUUUGUUCACAGGAGCAACAUAUCUCGCUGCUUACUUGCUGCACCACACACACAUGCACACACACCCACACACAUAUAGAAAAAUGUGUUAAUUUUUCUUAAUGCAGGUGCAGGCUCAACAACAAAAAUUAAAAAUACUGUCACCGCCGCUUCCGACGAGUAAAUUACCUUCUGUUCCAUCCCUAACUGGAAAUGAAGGUGGCUAGUGUAUAUACCCUGUUGUGCGCAAGCGCGGUGCAUUUUUACGGUUGGCGCCAAAUUUGAAUAAAUGCGGAAUUAAUCCGAGCACUAUAUUAAUGAACACUAAAAAUGCAUACAUUUUUAGGGGAGUUUAUUGGGAUUCUACAAUUACAAGUACAAUUAAAUUUUUUUUUUUUUGUAGGCCGAGCUGAAGAA